rnacentral:rRNA from 1 species
GAUGAACGCUAGCUACAGGCUUAACACAUGCAAGUCGCGGGGCAGCAUGGGGGUUGCUUGCAAUCCCCGAUGGCGACCGGCGCACGGGUGAGUAACGCGUAUCCAACCUGCCCUUCACCACGGGAUAACCCGGCGAAAGUCGGACUAAUGCCGUAUGUUGUCCAUUGACGGCAUCCGAUUUGGACGAAAGGCUUGGCGGUGAGGGAUGGGGAUGCGUCCGAUUAGCCAGACGGCGGGGUAACGGCCCACCGUGGCUACGAUCGGUAGGGGUUCUGAGAGGAAGGUCCCCCACACUGGAACUGAGACACAGUCCAGACUCCUACGGGAGGCAGCAGUGAGGAAUAUUGGUCAAUGGGCGUAAGCCUGAACCAGCCAAGUAGCGUGCAGGAGGACGGCCCUAUGGGUUGUAAACUGCUUUUAUGCGGGGAUAAAGUGGCCCACGUGUGGGCUUUUGCAGGUACCGCAUGAAUAAGAACCGGCUAAUUCCGUG